UACAGAGGGUGCGAGCGUUGUCCGGAAUCACUGGGCGUAAAGGGCGCGUAGGCGGUCUGAUAAGUAGGGGGUGAAAUCCUGUGGCUUAACUGCAGGGCUGCCUCCUAGACUGUUAGGCUCGAGCACGGUAGAGGCAGAUGGAAUUCCCGGUGUAGCGGUGGAAUGCGUAGAGAUCGGGAAGAACAUCGGUGGCGAAGGCGGUCUGCUGGGCCGUUGCUGACGCUGAGGCGCGACAGCGUGGGGAGCAAACAGG
rnacentral:rRNA from 1 species